GCCCGCUUGGCUUAGUGGUAAAGCGUCGCACUUGUAACCCCGCCAACUGAGGCGAAAUUUCAAUUGAUGCGAAGAUCAAGAGUUCAAUUCUCUUAGUGGGCA